rnacentral:lncRNA from 1 species
UCUAAGAAUUAAAAAAACAAAGUUAUAUAAAAUCAAAUACCCUCUCUCCCAAAUCAACAAGCCGAGACUUUCUCAUUCCCCUAGAUUUGGUUUUUAAUAUAUUUAUAGAUCAUUUAGCCAAAAAAGGAGCUUCAAUAUUUUGAAGUAAUAAAAAGGAAACUAUAAUGGUUAAAGUGGAUCAUCCAAAACAAUGGCUUCAAGAGGGAUGUAGAUUGUAUGUAGCCACACAAAUCACACACUUCACGUAGUCAGCACAUCAGUGGCUGUUAGAUCAAGAUCUGGUGGUCUAAAUUUCAAACUCGAUAGUAUAGUUUAAAAAAAUUGUCAAAAUCUGCUUCCUUUCUGCACCGCUCGAUCUUGGUCCAACAUCAACCAAUGUAAUGCGCAUUUGGAUGCAAAAAUUUGUGACGACAACAAAUCCAAAUCCCUUCAAGAGAUUGAUUCAACCUUUAGUUCUAUUAUCUUUUACCCAUAUUAGCAAAUCCAAAUCUUUUAGCAACGCCAAAUAUAACAGCCUUGGUCACCAAUCCUUUAUCAAGACUACAAGCAAGAGCAACAGCACCACCAAUGACUAGCAUCUUCGGUACGGUCAUGCCCUUUGGUUUGUCGUCAGAAGUGAUCGCACUUUCGGUUUGUAAUGAUUCAUCAUCAGACGAUCCUAUGGAUUGCAAGUACUCGGGACUUAUUUUUGUAUUGACACCGGCCAUGAAAGCAGAACGAGAGAGUGGAGCUCCAGAAGCUUUUGCUUCUUGAUAAGCGCGCAAACCGGGCUCAAUCUUUUGUACCAUUCCCCACAUGCCUUUACGCACUCCAAGCUUUGCAAUUUCCCAUGGAAUUCCCAUUUCUUCAUGAUGGAAGAGUAAAAUUUCACAUGCAGUUAGUUGACCAUUAUCUCUCUUUGAUUCAACUGUAAAAAAAAAUAGCAUAUGAUCAUUGAUCAGCCAUAAGCCUACUAUAUAACAUGUCCAGUGGUGAAUGAAUGAUCAGCUCAAAACAAUUUUACACUGUCUAUCAAUUGUAAUCGUCAAAUCAUCUAACUUAAUCAUAAUUAAUUCUAA